rnacentral:rRNA from 1 species
AAGUCGAACGAGAGAAUUGCUAGCUUGCUAAUAAUUCUCUAGUGGCGCACGGGUGAGUAACACGUGAGUAACCUGCCCCCGAGAGCGGGAUAGCCCUGGGAAACUGGGAUUAAUACCGCAUAGAAUCGCAAGAUUAAAGCAGCAAUGCGCUUGGGGAUGGGCUCGCGGCCUAUUAGUUAGUUGGUGAGGUAACGGCUCACCAAGGCGAUGACGGGUAGCCGGUCUGAGAGGGUGACCGGCCACACUGGGACUGAGACACGGCCCAGACUCC